rnacentral:rRNA from 1 species
CUUCCUACGGGGCGCAGCAGUGAGGAAUAUUGGUCAAUGAGCGGGAGCCUGAACCAGCCAAGCCGCGUGAGGGAAGAAGGUACAGCGUAUCGUAAACCUCUUUUGUCAGGGAACAAAGGCGGGGACUAGUCCCCGGAUGAGGGUACCUGAAGAAAAAGCAACGGCUAACUCCGUGCCAGCAGCCGCGGUAAUAAGGAGGAUGCGAGCGUUAUCCGGAUUUAUUGGGUUUAAAGGGAGCGCAGGCGGCCUGUUAAGUCAGCGGUAAAAGACAGGGGCUCAACC